rnacentral:rRNA from 1 species
GAUUGAAGGGCUGCAGUAUAUUGACUGUACAAAGGUAGCAUAAUCAUUAGUCAUUUAAUUGAUGACUUGUAUGAAGGAUUGGAUGAAAUAUAAACUGUCUCUUUAUUAAUAAUAGAAUUUAAUUUUUUAAUUAAAAAGUUAAAAUAUUUUAAAAAGACGAGAAGACCCUAUAGAGUUUUAUAAAUAAAAUAAUUAAGAUUAUUUAAUUAAAUAAAAUUAAGAUUAUAUUAUUUAUUUUGUUGGGGUGACAGAAAAAUAUAUUUAACUUUUUUUUUAUUUAAAACAUUUAUAAGUGGUUAAAUGAUCCAAUAUUAUUGAUUAUAAGAAAAAAUUACCUUAGGGAUAACAGCGUAAUUUUUUUUUUUAGUUCAAAUAAGAAAAAGAGUUUGCGACCUCGAUGUUGGAUUAAGAUAAAAUUUAAAUGCAGAAG